rnacentral:rRNA from 1 species
UACGGAGGGUUCAAGCGUUAUCCGGAAUCAUUGGGCGUAAAGGGUGCGUAGGCGGCUUAGCAAGCCAGGGGUGAAAGGCAUUGGCUCAACCAAUGUAAGCUUUUGAAACUGUUGAACUUGAGUGCAGGAGAGGUAAGUGGAAUUCCUAGUGUAGAGGUGAAAUUCGUAGAUAUUAGGAGGAACACCAGUGGCGAAGGCGACUUACUGGACUGUAACUGACACUGAGGCACGAAAGCGUGGGGAGCGAACAGG